GGCAAACCUCCCGAUACUCCAUCAUCUUAUCGUCCAAUAAGCUUACUUCCUUUCUUUGCAAAACUGUGUGAAAAAAUGAUCCUAAAACGAAUAUCCAAUAUAAUUAACGACAAAAAAAUUAUCCCCUGCACGCAAUUUGGCUUCCAAGACAAACAUUCCACUAUCCAUCAGGUACACCGCCUUACUGACUCAAUUGCCUACUCCUUAGAAACGAAGUCACACUGCUCAGCUGUCCUACUCGAUGUUGCCCAAGCCUUUGACAGAGUCUGGCAUCCUGGUCUCUUACACAAGCUGAAAAUAAUUCUCCCUCCACCGUAUUAUUUAUUUUUUAAGUCAUAUCUCGAGGACAGAUUCUUUGCCGUUAAAGUUGGCUCUGAAAUCUCAAAUUUGGCCCCAAUCCUUGCUGGUGUUCCUCAAGGCGCCAUCUCUUCUCCCAUAUUGUUUAACAUAUACACAUCGGAUCAACCAACCACUUCUCAAACUUCUGUAGCCGACUUCGCUGAUGAUAAAGUUAUAUAUAUUUCCGAAAAAAACCCAUUUCUUGCCAGCCAAUAUUUGCAGAACCAUCUAAACCUACUCUCUGAUUGGUAUUCCAAUUGGAGAAUUAAAAUAAACAAUGAAAAAUCAUCCCACAUCACCUUCACUCUCAAACAAUCCACAGUACCUCCAGUUUAUUUAAACAAUAAAGUUAUUCCUUCCUCCUCUAAUGUUAAAUAUUUGGGUCUCACUCUCGAUAAACGACUUACCUGGGCCUUACAUAUUAAGCAGAAACGUCUCUUGCUAAAUGCCAGACGAAGAGCGCUCUUCCCACUUAUAGGAAGACAAGCAAAAACUGACCUAAAAACUAAACUGCUACUGUACAAAACCCUUCUCAAGCCAAUUUGGUUAUACGGUAUCCAAUUGUGGGGUGCAGCAAAAAAGUCUAAUACUAACAAAAUCCAAGCAUUCCAAUCGACCUCAUUGCGAAUGAUUACAGGCGCUCCUCCGUAUGUUUCAAACCACACCUUACAUUCAGACUUAAAAAUUUUAACUGUCAAUGAAGAAGCCAAAAAUGCCUAUAGACUUUUCCGCGCGCGUCUUACAAACCACUCUAAUCUACUAAUCCGUGCCCUAAACUCCAAUUCCAUUCCAGG